rnacentral:rRNA from 1 species
UACAGAGGUCUCGAGCGUUGUUCGGAUUCAUUGGGCGUAAAGGGCGCGUAGGCGGCGGGGUAAGUCUGGUGUGAAAUCUCGGAGCUCAACUCCGAAAUUGCACUGGAUACUGCUCUGCUAGAGGGCUGGAGAGGAGAUCGGAAUUCAUGGUGUAGCAGUGAAAUGCGUAGAGAUCGAUGAGGAAGACCAGUGGCGAAGGCGGGUACUCU